rnacentral:rRNA from 1 species
ACGAAGGUCCCAAGCGUUGUUCGGAAUCACUGGGCGUAAAGCGAGCGUAGGCGGCAUGGUAAGUCAGAUGUGAAAGCCCGGGGCUCAACCUCGGAACUGCAUCCGAUACUGCCAAGCUAGAGUAGUGGAGGGGUGUAUGGAAUUCACGGUGUAGCAGUGAAAUGCGUAGAUAUCGUGAGGAACACUAGUGGCGAAGGCGAUACACUGGACACUAACUGACGCUGAGGCUCGAAGGCUAGGGUAGCGAAAGGG